rnacentral:lncRNA from 1 species
CGCUCCUGGCCCCAGGGAGGGAGCGCACGGGCUCCUGCUGGGGCUUCCGCGCCUGCGUGCGCGUGGGAGAGUGUGUGAGCCUGAGUGUGUGGUCUGCAGGGGGAUUACUGCCUGAAAGUCUUCCAGGAGCCCAACGAGGCAGACAUAGUACCAACAUAUUAAAGUUCUCAAUGGAAGACGCAUUGGUAUCUCAUGCAUCUUCCCUGACCAAAGGCUGGGAUUUUGAAGCGGGCCAUUUCAGGAGUCCCGAUGUCCUUCUCCGGGUCCCUUCGGAUCCGAUCUUGACAUCUUUGUUGUUGCAGAAAUGAAGGAACUGGACUCGAUGGCCCCUCGGGACCCUUCCAGCACCAGACCCAAGUAUCCUGUGAAGCAAAUCAUUGCAGCCAGAGAAGGAAGAGAAGUGGAGAGGAAUCACCCUGAAAAGAUACUGGCAUCUAUUGUUAUAUCGAGAUGACUGGCAUUCGUGUCUAACGGUCUCGGCUCAGCCCGGAUGCCCUCUAUGGGUGCAGCAAAAGAACGAAGUAGCUGUUAUGUACCAUUGCAAGGUCACAACUUUCUAGGGCCUGCCAAAGAGUGGAAUACUGAAUCCCUGGAGUCUUUCAGUGUUCCCUCCUUCCCUCCACUCCUUGGUGAGCAUUGUCCUGACCUUGGGACUAGAGACCUGUAAUUGGCUGCCGUGACCCCUCCCACCGGGGGCUGCAGGGAGCCAUGGGGUUGGCAGUGGUGUGGAUGACGGAAGCCCCAGGGGAUGGUCACUCCAAGGCCCUGGAAGCCCUGAGCCGGAGACGGCCAGAAGAAAUCCCGAGGAAGACACGGGCAGAAUUUGCAUCGCCAGCAUGGACCAGCACUUCAGUCUUUCUUCCAUGAGUUCCCCAGUGAGGAAAAGUCUCCUCCUUACAAGCUUGUUCACCUUUCUGAGUUAAAUAUUUGCUUUGGCUUUUGAGCUCCACUUUGAUAAAAUCUGUUAACCACA